GAGUACGGUCGCAAGACUGAAACUCAAAGGAAUUGACGGGGGCCCGCACAAGCGGUGGAACAUGUGGUUCAAUUCGACGCAACGCGAAGAACCUUACCUGGGCUUGAACCGCACAGGACCAUCUUUGGAAACAGAGACUUCCCGCAAGGGACCUGUGUAAAGGUGCUGCAUGGCUGUCGUCAGCUCGUGCCGUGAGGUGUUGGGUUAAGUCCCGCAACGAGCGCAACCCUUACUCGUAGUUGCCACCCGCAAGGGGGAACUCUACGAGGACUGCUCCGGAUAACGGAGAGGAAGGUGGGGAUGAGGUCAAGUCAGCAUGGCCUUUAUGUCCAGGGCAACACACGUGUUACAAUGCGCGCCACAAAGCGUUGCAAACCCGCGAGGGGGAGCUAAUCGCAAAAAAGCGCGCUCAGUUCGGAUUGCAGUCUGCAACUCGACUGCAUGAAGCCGGAAUCGCUAGUAAUGGCGCAUCAGAACGGCGCCGUGAAUACGUUCCCGGGCCUUGUACACACCGCCCGUCACAUCACGAAAGUGGGCUGUACUAGAAAUCGUCGUGCCAACCGCAAGGAGGCAGACGCUCAAGGUAUGACUCAUGAUUGGGGUG
rnacentral:rRNA from 1 species